AGAGUUUGAUCCUGGCUCAGGACGAACGCUGGCGGCGUGCUUAACACAUGCAAGUCGAACGGACGGACUCGAUAGCUUGCUAUUGGGAAAGUUAGUGGCAAACGGGUGAGUAACGCGUAGGCAACCUGCCCUUCAGAUGGGGACAACAGCUGGAAACGGCUGCUAAUACCGAAUACGUUCUCUUUAUCGCAUGGUAGAGGGAAGAAAGGGAGGCUCUUCGGAGCUUUCGCUGAAGGAGGGGCUUGCGUCUGAUUAGCUAGUUGGAGGGGUAACGGCCCACCAAGGCGACGAUCAGUAGCCGGUCUGAGAGGAUGAACGGCCACAUUGGGACUGAGACACGGCCCAAACUCCUACGGGAGGCAGCAGUGGGGAAUCUUCCGCAAUGGACGAAAGUCUGACGGAGCAACGCCGCGUGAACGAUGACGGCCUUCGGGUUGUAAAGUUCUGUUAUACGGGACGAAUGGCGUAGCGGUCAAUACCCGUUACGAGUGACGGUACCGUAAGAGAAAGCCACGGCUAACUACGUGCCAGCAGCCGCGGUAAUACGUAGGUGGCAAGCGUUGUCCGGAAUUAUUGGGCGUAAAGGGCGCGCAGGCGGCGUCGUAAGUCGGUCUUAAAAGUGCGGGGCUUAACCCCGUGAGGGGACCGAAACUGCGAUGCUAGAGUAUCGGAGAGGAAAGCGGAAUUCCUAGUGUAGCGGUGAAAUGCGUAGAUAUUAGGAGGAACACCAGUGGCGAAAGCGGCUUUCUGGACGACAACUGACGCUGAGGCGCGAAAGCCAGGGGAGCAAACGGGAUUAGAUACCCCGGUAGUCCUGGCCGUAAACGAUGGAUACUAGGUGUAGGAGGUAUCGACCCCUUCUGUGCCGGAGUUAACGCAAUAAGUAUCCCGCCUGGGGAGUACGGCCGCAAGGCUGAAACUCAAAGGAAUUGACGGGGGCCCGCACAAGCGGUGGAGUAUGUGGUUUAAUUCGACGCAACGCGAAGAACCUUACCAAGCCUUGACAUUGAUUGCUAUGGGUAGAGAUAUCCAGUUCCUCUUCGGAGGACAAGAAAACAGGUGGUACACG
rnacentral:rRNA from 1 species